rnacentral:rRNA from 1 species
UGGCUCAGAACGAACGCUGGCGGCAGGCUUAACACAUGCAAGUCGAGCGCCCCGCAAGGGGAGCGGCAGACGGGUGAGUAACGCGUGGGAAUCUACCCUUGACUACGGAAUAACGCAGGGAAACUUGUGCUAAUACCGUAUGUGUCCUUCGGGAGAAAGAUUUAUCGGUCAAGGAUGAGCCCGCGUUGGAUUAGCUAGUUGGUGGGGUAAAGGCCUACCAAGGCGACGAUCCAUAGCUGGUCUGAGAGGAUGAUCAGCCACAUUGGGACUGAGACWCGGCCCAAACUCCUACGGGAGGCAGCWGUGGGGAAUAUUGGACWAUGGGCGCAAGCCUGAUCCAGCCAUGCCGCGUGAGUGAUGAAGGCCCUAGGGUUGUAAAGCUCUUUCACCGGAGAAGAUAAUG